CCUACGUGUGGCUGCAGUGGGGAAUAUUGCACAAUGGGCGAAAGCCUGAUGCAGCAACGCCGCGUGAAGGAAGAAGGGUUUCGGCUCGUAAACUUCUUUUCUCAGGGACGAAGGAAGUGACGGUACCUGAAGAAUAAGCCACGGCUAACGACGUGCCAGCAGCCGCGGUAAUACGUAGGGGGCAAGCGUUAUCCGGAAUUACUGGGUGUAAAGGGUGAGUAGGCGGGACUGGAAGUCAGAUGUGAAAGCCAUGGGCUUAACCCGAGGAUUGCAUUUGAAACUGUCGUGCUAGAGUACUGGAGAGGAAAACGGAAUUCCUAGUGUAGCGGUGAAAUGCGUAGAUAUUAGGAAGAACACCAGUGGCGAAGGCGGUCUGCUGGACUGCAACUGACGCUGAGGCACGAAAGCGUGGGGAGCGAACAGGAUUAGAUACCCGAGUAGUC
rnacentral:rRNA from 1 species